CACGGAGGGGGCUAGCGUUGUUCGGAAUUACUGGGCGUAAAGCGCACGUAGGCGGCUUUGUAAGUUAGAGGUGAAAGCCCGGGGCUCAACUCCGGAAUUGCCUUUAAGACUGCAUCGCUAGAAUUGUGGAGAGGUAAGUGGAAUUCCGAGUGUAGAGGUGAAAUGCGUAGAUAUCAGGAGGAACACCUGUGGUGUAGACAGCUUACUGGACCAUUUCUGACGCUGAGACACGAAAGCGUGGGUAGCAAACAGG
rnacentral:rRNA from 1 species